CUCUUUGUGUCUCUCCCUUCUCAAAAUUCAAUCAAAACCAACAUCUUCCAACCCAAGCCCAAAGUCUUCAGCAUCACUGCAUGUUUGAUUAUUUGUAGAAAGUGAUUCUCAUUCAAAGCUUCCUUGGUGGGUUUGUAUCGCCUUUAUAAAAAAAUAUAUUUUUUACUUUUGUUUAUUUGUAUUUUUACCAUUAUUUUUGUUCUAUAUCUUUUUACGCACCUUAUUGUAAUAGGAAGACCAUCUGUAAUGUGCAAAUUUGAUUUUACCAUUAGUACCUUGCUCUUGAAUUGAACUAGGACACAUAAUUUAAUUGCAGCCAAAAUAAUAUAAUUGAUUUCAGCUAUUACAACUAUGUAAUGGAUUUUCUACAGCAAUGUAAGUGGACUCAUAUUCUUAGGGAGAGGAACAAUAUGGCCUUCUUUAGUAGAAAGCUUGCACUUAGAGAGACACAUUAUGCAGCAAUAUAUAUUAGUUUCACUUGCAAAUUGCUUUUUUCAUAAUGUUGCUGCUCUCCAUAUACAGCCACAUAUGUAUAUGUUUCUUUGCUUGAUGAAAGUCAUUAACCUUAGGCUGUUUUCUUAUAUUUGUUACAGCUGUAGUAAUUAACUGGAAUUUUAUUUCUUUCUACAGAUUAAAGCCCAAAACAAACUAUUUACUUCUCUUCAGAGUUAAGUGCUUUGCCUGAUAAAAAUCCGUGAGGGAGAAGCCUAACUAAUAGAUCGAGCUCUUCCAUGUCAUGUGCCAUCAUAGCGCAAACCCAUGUAUCUAUGUGGAUUGGGUCACAAUCAAAACUCCAAUGGAGGCAAAACUUCUAUAGUGGAUUCACAUUACAAAGAUCCUAGGAUUGGUUAACUCAGAAUGGUGUCUCCAUUACGUGGGCAGCAACAAAUUAUAUGGUUUCCCAUUUAUUUGAAGGUGAGCCCAUAAUCUGUAUUAACUUAUAAUCUCUUCAUAUGAGAAUGUGUCUGCUUCUUGGUAUUAAAAGUUUGUUAAAUAUGUUUUACAGGUACACCUUUGCUAAAUAUUUAUUAAAUAUGUUGAAUCAUUUCUAGCUCAACCAACAUUGAAACAUCUUACUUUUUUUCAUUUCAUUAUACCAUUGAUCUACUUGAUUUUCUUAUUUUUGCCUUAGUUUAUGAAGACCUUUAACAUGUAGACCAAUUGAACCAAAUUAUCAGAAAAUGAGAUGUGCUUAGGUGAAGGCAUUUGAUUGGUUAGCAUCUAAAUGUUUGAUAAUUCUGCUAUGGACACAUUAGGCCUAGACUAUAGGAUUUGAGUUGGCAGAUAAUACUUAGGCUCUAUAAACCGUAUCUUUUGUUUAUUUUUCCAUAAAGAUUAUGUCAAAUAAGAACAAAUUACUAUAUUUGCUAGAUGUUUAAUGAAAUGCCUCCAAUUUUAUUUUUAAUUCUCAUUUAAUCUGUCUUCCUUUGUUUCU